rnacentral:rRNA from 1 species
AUUGAACGCUGGCGGCAGGCUUAACACAUGCAAGUCGAGCGGGGUGAUGGUGCUUGCACUAUCACUUAGCGGCGGACGGGUGAGUAAUGCUUAGGAAUCUGCCUAUUAGUGGGGGACAACAUCUCGAAAGGGAUGCUAAUACCGCAUACGUCCUACGGGAGAAAGCAGGGGAUCACUUGUGACCUUGCGCUAAUAGAUGAGCCUAAGUCGGAUUAGCUAGUUGGUGGGGUAAAGGCCUACCAAGGCGACGAUCUGUAGCGGGUCUGAGAGGAUGAUAGGCCACACUGGGACUGAGACACGGCCCAGACUCCUACGGGAGGCAGCAGUGGGGAAUAUUGGACAAUGGGGGGAACCCUGAUCCAGCCAUGCCGCGUGUGUGAAGAAGGCCUUAUGGUUGUAAAGCACUUUAAGCGAGGAGGAGGCUCUUUUGGUUAAUACCCAAGAUGAGUGGACGUUACUCGCAGAAUAAGCACCGGCUAACUCUGUGCCAGCCGCCGCGGUAA